rnacentral:rRNA from 1 species
AUUGAACUCUCGCGGCCCGCCUUACACAUGCAAGUCGAACGAGUGGCGGACGGGUGAGUAAUGUCUGGGAACCUGCCCGAUGGCGGGGGAUAACUACUGGAAACAGUGGCUAAUACCGCAUACCAUCAGAUGUGCCCAGAUGGGAUUAGCUUGUUGGUGGGGUAAAGGCUCACCAAGGCGACGAUCCCUAGCUGGUCUGAGAGGACGACCAGCCACACUGGAACUGAGACACGGCCCAGACUCCUACGGGAGGCAGCAGUGGGGAAUAUUGGACAAUGGGGGAAAUCCUGAUGCAGCCAUGCCGCGUGUAUGAUGAAGGCCUUCGGGGUGUAAAGUACUUUUAGCGGGGAGGCGGUACCCGCAGAAGAAGCACCGGCUAACUCCGUGCCAGCAGCCGCGGUAAUUC